CUUUAGUUUCUGUUCCUCCCUUCUUCUCUGUUCGAACGAGUGACUUCUAAACCCUAUCUCCGUUACUCUCAAUCUCUCCCUCGUCGCCGACGCCGUUGCUCGCCACAUCUGUCUGCCUCCAUCGCCAUCGCUUUUCUGGUUACUGGUAUGUCUGCCUCUGCUCUAAUGUGCAUUUCCAGUUCUAUUUCCAUUUCUCCCUUCAUUCAUCUUCGCUUCCCUCUCUCUCUGUCUCUCUCUAUGGCACCAUGGGUGUGGGGACUGGGGACGGGGAAUGGGAAGUAGUAGUAUGAUUGAUUACUGGGUCUGGGAGUAAACCCAGAAGCAUAUUAAAUUUGUUUUCCUGUCUGCCUCCAUCGCCAUCUGGAUCUGAUGAAACACUUCUGCUUUAAUUUGUUUUCCUUUUUUUGUCUUUUUUUGGCCUUUUUUAUUAGGCAUGCGUAAGUGUAACAAUGAAUACGAAAGCUGUGUGGAAUUUUUUUGUCUUUUUUUUGUCUUCCGCAUUUGAAUGGUAUGCUGUGUUGAAUUUUUCGUAAAAAUGCCACGCAAUUGGCUAAAGUAGUACACGGUUCUACUAAAUUGGACUUCAACUGAAUUCGUAACCUUUGUCAAAAGUGGUUCAAUCAGAAGGAAAUUACUCACACUCCAUCAUCUUCACAUGGCUCUAGAUUCUAAUUAUUGCUCUCUUUGUGCUAAAGAAUAAAUUCUAACUUCUAAGAGCAGAUUUCUAAAACCCCAAAAUAAAAAUUGUAAAUCAUAGAUAUAAGGUGUAGCCUGUCAAUCCUGGAAGUUAAAAAGAAAGUAGGAAGAACAAUUUGAGUAUUCCGUGGUAGUCUGGAUUUAAUGACUUGAUAUAGAGAGUUAAACAAGCACCACUAGAAUUGUUGUGUGUAAUUUGUUAGAAAUGCCAUUAAAACAAAACACACUCUGUAUAAUUCCACUAAAGUCCACAAACUUCAUCCCACUUUGUAUAAUUCCUCUAAAGUCCCUAGAUCACUUACAUUAAGAGACUAAAGCUCAAAAAACUUGAUUAGCCUCGACUUGAUAAGGCUUGACUAAAGGUCGAGCCUUAUUGAGUCGAGUCUCGAGCUUAAAAGAAUUUCCUCUAGUCAAGCCUCGAGUUGUGAUUUUUAGGCUUGAUUGAGUUUGAGUCUAGGUACAUAUAGGUCGAGUCGAGCUCAAGUAUAGCACUACUCGAGCUUGACUUGGCUCGAAUACAUCCCUAAGGUCCAAGGCAGUGGACUCUCACAACUCACAAACACACCUCUUUCUUCUUCCCACUUGGCUGUUCCGCUGUUGGCAUUCAUCUUUCCCCAAAUCAAAAGCAAACCCUAGCCACCGCUACCACUGUCUGCACCACUCACCAGUCAGCCUCUUCUGCCACCACCACCGCCGCCCUUCAAUUGAAGAGCCCUUUCUCUCCGAGUCCCAGUUUGUUGGCCAACGUUAGAAGCAGCUACGGUAGACAUUUCAUCAGCUCCAUUGGUGGAGGGCCUCGCGAACAGGAUUGCUGAUAAACUGAUCUUGACAACAGUGGUUGGAACUUUUGGACUAUAGGAUUGCUGAUAAACUGAUCUUGACAACAGUGGUUGGAACUUUUGGACUAUAGGAUUGCUGAUAAACUGAUCUUGACAACAUUUUUUGGAACUUUUGGACUAGGAUUGCUGAUAAACUGAUCUUGACAACAGUGGUUGGAACUUUUGGACUAUAGGAUUGCUGAUAAACUAUCUAGGAUUGCUGAUAAACUGAUCUUGACAACAGUGAUUAGGGUCAUCGAAAGGAAUUGUGAAAUUCCCCAUGAAGGGCCCUUCUGUGACCUCAUGUGGAGUGACCCUGAAGAUAUUGAAACAUGGGCAGUCAGUCCAAGAGGAGCAGGCUGGCUCUUUUGAUCCAGGGUUACUUCUGAGUCCAAUCAUAUUAACAAGCUUGAUCUAGUUUGUCGGGCCCACCAACUAGUGCAGGAAGGCCUAAAAUACAUGUUUCAAGAUAAAGGACUAGUUACUGUGUGGUCUGCACCAAAUUACUGCUAUCGUUGUGGAAAUGUAGCGUCAAUUUUGAGCUUCAAUGAGAAUAUGGAGAGAAGUGAAAUUCUUCACUGAAACUGAGGAAAACAACCAAAUAAGAGGACCCAGGACAGGAGUACCUUACUUCUUGUAGUUGGAUACUAGUGCUUGGUUUAUUGAUAAUGAGAAUAUUUUUAAGAGGUGGUGGUGUGAUUUUCCCGGUGGGGAUUACGAAGAGAUGGUAAGAAUGUUUCUCAAGUGGCGCUGAGUACCAGGAUGGUAAUUCUCAGAAGACGGCUACGCACCUAGGUGAUUAUUUGGCCGAAAUUGCAUUUGCAUAGUUUGUGUUGUGUAUUAGAGAUGCUUGGAGAUUGUUACUUUUUGAUCUUUAUAAUUAAAAAAUAUGUAAGAUGAUUGGUACGUUGUUUCCAUAUGUGAGCUAGACUAAUUGUUUGCAGUUGUGGCUUAGAGAAAUAGUUUUCCAAAGCUUUGGUUUUAGGCUGGUGGUAAGUUGCCUAUAGGAGAGCAAUAAUUUCUUCUUCAGUGACCAAUGUUUUGUUGUUGACCUUAUCAUUUUGAGAGGAUCUAUAUCUGGACUUAUUCUCUGUAAAGUUUCGAUUGUUCUUUUU